rnacentral:rRNA from 1 species
CAGUCGCCGCGGUAAUACAGAGGGUGCGAGCGUUAAUCGGAUUUACUGGGCGUAAAGCGUGCGUAGGCGGCUUCUUAAGUCGGAUGUGAAAUCCCUGAGCUUAACUUAGGAAUUGCAUUCGAUACUGGGAAGCUAGAGUAUGGGAGAGGAUGGUAGAAUUCCAGGUGUAGCGGUGAAAUGCGUAGAGAUCUGGAGGAAUACCGGUGGCGAAGGCGGCCCCCUGGACAAAGACUGACGCUCAGGUGCGAAAGCGUGGGGAGCAAACAGGAUUAGAUACCCCGGUAGUCCCUGUCUCUUAUAC